GAUGAACGCUGGCGGCGUGCCUAAUACAUGCGAGUCGAGCGAACAGAUAAGGAGCUUGCUCCUUUGACGUUAGCGGCGGACGGGUGAGUAACACGUGGGUAACCUACCUAUAAGACUGGGAUAACUUCGGGAAACCGGAGCUAAUACCGGAUAACAUUUGGAACCGCAUGGUUCUAAAGUGAAAGAUGGUUUUGCUAUCACUUAUAGAUGGACCCGCGCCGUAUUAGCUAGUUGGUAAGGUAACGGCUUACCAAGGCAACGAUACGUAGCCGACCUGAGAGGGUGAUCGGCCACACUGGAACUGAGACACGGUCCAGACUCCUACGGGAGGCAGCAGUAGGGAAUCUUCCGCAAUGGGCGAAAGCCUGACGGAGCAACGCCGCGUGAGUGAUGAAGGGUUUCGGCUCGUAAAACUCUGUUAUUAGGGAAGAGCAAACGUGUAAGUAACUGUGCACGUCUUGACGGUACCUAAUCAGAAAGCCACGGCUAACUACGUG
rnacentral:rRNA from 1 species